UGCCAGCAGCCGCGGUAAUACGGAGGGUGCAAGCGUUGUCCGGAAUCACUGGGUUUAAAGGGUGCGUAGGCGGUCCGAUAAGUCAGAGGUGAAAUACACGAGCUUAACUGGUGAAUUGCCUUUGAAACUAUCGAGCUAGAAUUAUGUUGAGGUCAGCGGAAUGAGUCAUAUAGCGGUGAAAUGCAUAGAUAUGACUUAGAACACCAAUUGCGUAGGCAGCUGGCUAGGCAUUGAUUGACGCUGAGGCACGAAAGCGUGGGGAGCGAACAGGAUUAGAUA
rnacentral:rRNA from 1 species